GUUGAUAAGCCGGUUGAAUAAGCUGAAGCGAACAGGCAUGGUUCCCUCUAGCUUGUACUCGGACACACAGACAGACUGGGAGUAGCUUUUGCCCAGGAACAGUGCCUGGUCAUCCCCCACGCUUGUCACAACCACCCACUGCGACGAAUUGAAGUCUGCUUCAAACACCUUGAAUUCAAUCCCUACAGGCUCAAUCGAUGUUCCUUCC
rnacentral:lncRNA from 1 species